UAAGCAGAGCGAACACAGACUAAUAAUUGUCAAGGGGCGAAAGGUGUCUGUUAGGGUCGGGCCAGGGGCCAGAGAGCGAAAGGAGCACCCAGAGGGAAGGUUGCGUCUGCGAGGCUGGGGAGAGGAGCGCGCCGGCCCAGCGGACGGCUGAGGAAUCUGAGGAAAAUCCACUACCUAUUCCAGUCUUGAAUGAGGGGCCUUGUGUAGAAGAUGUUACUUGGGGCCGAGGAGCACAAUCCACCCCGAUCACCAGCGCUAGGCAUUCAAGAGACGUCCCUGUGUGGGCUGCACACACCCAUUGGCUCUGGCAGGGCUGCAUGAGUGGCGCAUGGGGGCGGGGCUGCUCACCCUUCACAUCUGUUUGUGUCAUGUGCAAGUGGGAUGAGGCCAGGAGAUGGGGAUGCUGGCCCUCCACGUCUGUUGGUGCCACACAUGAGUGGCACACUCCCAGUUUAAUCUAAAAGAGAAGAUUACUUAGUGGGACUGUGAUGGAUUUGAGGAAUGAUUAAUAUAGCCAGAAGUAGAUACAAUGACUGUUGGAACUGUGCAUUUUCAUUUUGGGGAAAGUAUGAGAACUUCUUCACUUCUAAUAAGGAUAGGGUUUUAAAACCUGC
rnacentral:lncRNA from 1 species